rnacentral:rRNA from 1 species
UACGGGGGGAGCAAGCGUUGUUCGGAUUUACUGGGCGUAAAGGGUCCGUAGGCGGUUCGGUUAGUCAAAUGUGAAAGCCCACAGCUCAACUGUGGAACUGCAUUUGAAACUGCCGAGCUAGAGUGUGAGAGGGGUGAAGGGAAUUCCCGGUGUAAGGGUGAAAUCUGCAGAGAUCGGGAGGAACACCAGUCGCGAAGGCGCUUCACUGGCUCACUACUGACGCUCAGGGACGAAAGCUAGGGUAGCAAACGGG